rnacentral:rRNA from 1 species
UACGAGGGGGGCAAGCGUUGUUCGGAAUUAUUGGGCGUAAAGCGUGCGCAGGCGGUUUUGUAAGCCAGGUGUGAAAUCCCCGGGCUCAACCUGGGAAUGGCAUUUGGGACUGCAAGGCUGGAGUGCGGCAGAGGAGACUGGAAUUCCUGGUGUAGCAGUGAAAUGCGUAGAUAUCAGGAGGAACACCGAUGGCGAAGGCAGGUCUCUGGGCUGACACUGACGCUCAUGCACGAAAGCGUGGGGAGCAAACAGG